GACGAACGCUGGCGGCGUGCUUAACACAUGCAAGUCGAACGGUAAGGCCCUCCGGGGUACACGAGUGGCGAACGGGUGAGUAACACGUGGGUGAUCUGCCCUGCACUUCGGGAUAAGCCUGGGAAACUGGGUCUAAUACCGGAUAGGACCACUGCCUGCAUGGGUGGUGGUGGAAAGCUUUUGCGGUGUGGGAUGGGCCCGCGGCCUAUCAGCUUGUUGGUGGGGUGAUGGCCUACCAAGGCGACGACGGGUAGCCGGCCUGAGAGGGUGACCGGCCACACUGGGACUGGGAGAAGGCCCAGACUCCUACGGGAGGCAGCAGUGGGGAAUAUUGCACAAUGGGCGCAAGCCUGAUGCAGCGACGCCGCGUGAGGGAUGACGGCCUUCGGGUUGUAAACCUCUUUCAGCACCGACGAAGCGCAAGUGACGGUAGGUGCAGAAGAAGGACCGGCCAACUACGUGCCAGCCGCCGCCGUAA
rnacentral:rRNA from 1 species